rnacentral:rRNA from 2 species
UGGGGAAUAUUGCACAAUGGGCGAAAGCCUGAUGCAGCAACGCCGCGUGAGCGAUGAAGGCCUUCGGGUCGUAAAGCUCUGUCCUCAAGGAAGAUAAUGACGGUACUUGAGGAGGAAGCCCCGGCUAACUACGUGCCAGCAGCCGCGGUAAUACGUAGGGGGCGAGCGUUGUCCGGAAUUAUUGGGCGUAAAGAGUUCGUAGGCGGUUUUUUAAGUCAGAUGUGAAAGGCUACAGCUUAACUGUGGUAAGCAUUUGAAACUGGAAGACUUGAGUUAAGGAGGGAAAGUGGAAUUCCUAGUGUAGCGGUGAAAUGCGUAGAUAUUAGGAGGAACACCAGUUGCGAAGGCGGCUCUCUGGACUGUAACUGACACUGAGGCACGAAAGCGUGGGGAGCAAACAGG